rnacentral:rRNA from 1 species
UGGGGAAUAUUGCACAAUGGGCGCAAGCCUGAUGCAGCCAUGCCGCGUGUGUGAAGAAGGCCUUCGGGUUGUAAAGCACUUUCAGCGAGGAGGAAGGUGGUGAACUUAAUACGUUCAUCAAUUGACGUUACUCGCAGAAGAAGCACCGGCUAACUCCGUGCCAGCAGCCGCGGUAAUACGGAGGGUGCAAGCGUUAAUCGGAAUUACUGGGCGUAAAGCGCACGCAGGCGGUUUGUUAAGUCAGAUGUGAAAUCCCCGGGCUCAACCUGGGAACUGCAUUUGAAACUGGCAAGCUAGAGUCUCGUAGAGGGGGGUAGAAUUCCAGGUGUAGCGGUGAAAUGCGUAGAGAUCUGGAGGAAUACCGGUGGCGAAGGCGGCCCCCCUGGACGAAGACUGACGCUCAGGUGCGAAAGCGUGGGGGAGCAAAACAGGAUUAGAUACCCUGGUAGUCCACGCUGNAACGAUGUCGAUUUGGAGGUUGUGCCCUUGAGGCGUGGCUUCCGGAGCUAACGCGUUAAAGUCGACCGCCUGGGGAGUACGGCCGCAAGGUUAAAACUUAAAUGAAUUGACGGGGUCAUAGCUGUUUCCU